rnacentral:rRNA from 1 species
AAUAGAUACCCUGGUAGUCCACGCCGUAAACGAUGGAUACUAGCUGUUUGACCGCAAGGUUGAGUGGCUAAGCGAAAGUGAUAAGUAUCCCACCUGGGGAGUACGAACGCAAGUUUGAAACUCAAAGGAAUUGACGGGGGCCCGCACAAGCGGUGGAGCAUGUGGUUUAAUUCGAUGAUGCGCGAGGAACCUUACCAGGGCUUAAAUGUAGUUUGACGUAUUUGGAAACAGAUAUUUCUUCGGACAAAUUACAAGGUGCUGCAUGGUUGUCGUCAGCUCGUGCCGUGAGGUGUCAGGUUAAGUCCUAUAACGAGCGCAACCCCUGUUGUUAGUUGCCAGCGAGUAAUGUCGGGAACUCUAACAAGACUGCCAGUGUAAACUGCGAGGAAGGUGGGGAUGACGUCAAAUCAUCACGGCCCUUACGUCCUGGGCCACACACGUGCUACAAUGGACGGUACAGACGAGCAGCCACUUAGCAAUAAGGAGCGAAUCUAUAAAACCGUUCUCAGUUCGGAUCGGAGUCUGCAACUCGACUCCG